CCUUCCAACUGACCCUCCGGCUCUAUUCCAGGCUCUCUGGAGAUCACCCCUGUUGUUAGCAUGGCCUUCCUUCCAAGGACGUCGCGCUCAGGAGAGAGUGGCAGCUGGUACAGUGGGGCCUUGGAUUCU
rnacentral:lncRNA from 1 species